UUAUUUGAUAUAAAAUAUUUAUUAUAAAUGACUACAUCCAGAAAGUAAUAUGAUCAAAGCAUAAAUUGAUACAAACAAAAAGUCUUCAUUAAAACAAAAAUAAAACAACAAAAUUCUAGUACAAGUCUUAGAAUAGUUGGAAGUUGUAAUAGUUAGCACCAGGCCGUUGAGUCAAGACUUAAUCACAGCAAAGUUACCUCCAAUCAAGAACUAGUAUACUGAGUGUAGAACUCGAGUUCUACAUACAUUACAAUAUGCAGUCGUGCUUCUGAUAGUCCAAAUGUUUCUAUCAGUGACGUCGUUGCUCAUUAGUAAUGAGGCAUAACUUAAUUCUUCCUUAGAGAGGAUAACCAAAACUAAACGUAUUAAUACAUUUUAUAUAUUGUAGCUAAUAAUGUUCUGUAGACAUUCAGUGAUUGCACCAAACACAUGAAUAGUCAGAUUACUUCUAUGAAUUAACUUAAAUAUUAAGAAUUUUUUUUUUAAAGUAUUAAAUGGUUUGCACCCAACUUGAAAAUUUUUGCUCAGAAGUUUCAAUUCUUGCCUAGAUAACUCUAACAGGAAGAAACUAAGUCACAAUAAAGCACUGCAGUAAUGAUCAAACGUUUAGAGGGCACUCUUAUGUGACAGCAACGUAACAAGCCAAAAAACAGCAAAGGAAGCUCAUAGUAUUUGGCCUUUGAUGGACUUGGAUUUGUUUUGAAAUCCAUCAUUUUGUCAACACUUUUCAUAUUUCAUUAAAAAAAAUUAAAUUUGAAUUUUAAGUGAGAGAAAACAAACUAAAAAAAAAAGAAAAAGCCACAACAUUAGCUUAUUAAACCCAAGAUUUCAUGACCAGAAAUUUUGAACACAAUUGACACCAAAGCAAAAUCGAAAGCAUUCAGUCUGACAAGGAAUAUUUAGGUGUGUCUGUGUGUGUUGGAGGUCUGGCUAUGUGAACAUUAUAAAAUACCAUCAUCCGAUGAAAACUGGGUCUCCAGGAUAUGAACAGCUGACUUGCGUCAUAAGAACUUAGGCUGGUAUAGGCACUGAGUCAAAAGUGGUAGUUGGUUUGGGGGGGGGGAGGA